rnacentral:rRNA from 1 species
UACAGAGGUCUCAAGCGUUGUUCGGAUUCAUUGGGCGUAAAGGGUGCGUAGGUGGCGCUGUAAGUCGGGUGUGAAAUUUCGGAGCUUAACUCCGAAACUGCAUUCGAUACUGCGGUGCUUGAGGACUGGAGAGGAGACUGGAAUUCAUGGUGUAGCAGUGAAAUGCGUAGAGAUCAUGAGGAAGACCAGUGGCGAAGGCGGGUCUCUGGACAGUUCCUGACACUGAGGCACGAAGGCCGGGGGGAGCAAACGGG